GACGAACGCUGGCGGCGUGCUUAACACAUGCAAGUCGAGCGAUGAAGUUCCUUCGGAAUGGAUUAGCGGCGGACGGGUGAGUAACACGUGGGUAACCUGCCUCAUAGAGGGGAAUAGCCUUUCGAAAGGAAGAUUAAUACCGCAUAAGAUUGUAGUACCGCAUGGUGCAGCAAUUAAAGGAGUAAUCCGCUAUGAGAUGGACCCGCGUCGCAUUAGCUAGUUGGUGAGGUAACGGCUCACCAAGGCGACGAUGCGUAGCCGACCUGAGAGGGUGAUCGGCCACAUUGGGACUGAGACACGGCCCAGACUCCUACGGGAGGCAGCAGUGGGGAAUAUUGCACAAUGGGGGAAACCCUGAUGCAGCAACGCCGCGUGAGUGAUGACGGUCUUCGGAUUGUAAAGCUCUGUCUUCAGGGACGAUAAUGACGGUACCUGAGGAGGAAGCCACGGCUAACUACGUGCCAGCCGCCGCGGUAA
rnacentral:rRNA from 1 species